rnacentral:rRNA from 1 species
UACGAAGGGGACUAGCGUUGUUCGGAAUCACUGGGCGUAAAGCGCACGUAGGCGGAUUUGUAAGUCAGGGGUGAAAUCCCGGGGCUCAACCUCGGAACUGCCUUUGAUACUGCGAAUCUUGAGUCCGAUAGAGGUGGGUGGAAUUCCUAGUGUAGAGGUGAAAUUCGUAGAUAUUAGGAAGAACACCAGUGGCGAAGGCGGCCCACUGGAUCGGUACUGACGCUGAGGUGCGAAACGUGGGGAGCAAACGGG